ACCCACCUUCAGCAGCGCUGGAAUGGUGGAUCCCACUCCCUGGAAACCAUUAAUUGUUUUGUUUGUGUUGUCGGGGCUCUCGGGCUGAUCUGCUCAGCGCUAAUGAGCCAUUAACUCCCAAUUAGGAGCAGAGCUCUAAUUCCAGGCAGUUCUGCUGAUGAAUUAAUUACCAGGCACUUUUAUCAUCACGGAGCUCACAGCAGCCUCGCUGCAGCUUGGAUUGUGUAACACGCCGGGAGCUUCUCUCCUAAACCUGACCUUCAAUCCAGCCCAGAACCCGCAGCAGGCACAAAGCAGGGCCUAAACCUGCUGGUUUGUGUCACCCUAAACUGGGAGCACCCAGCUGGGACAAACCCACUGCAAAGGGUCAGACAGGGAAAACAGCCAGGCCAGGCCAGGGUUAUUCCCUUAGGGCGAGAACCAGGAGCCCAGCAGCUCCAGGGGGGCAGAAGGAAGCUGGAGCUGAAGGUCCCAAUCCCAGGAAAUCCCGGCUCUGCCAGGCCAAACGUGUUUGUCCACGUGACCAAAAAAUAUUGGAUUUUCCACUGACGGAUUUCCUAUAACGGCAGCACUGGGAAAAGAUCUGCGGGAUGUUCGGCCCCGAGAGUUUUAAAGAAAUAUUUUACCAUGCUCGGGCUGUGCUUAAAAGUAUUUAAAAUAAAAUAAAUGCAAUU